AAAUGGCGCCCGGCGGGGCCGCGCCGACAAAAUGGCGGCGGGCGGACAGCGCGGGAAGGGCCUCAGGGCCCCUCGUUCCCCUCCCGUCCCCGUCCCGUUUUGAGGUGUUUUUCCCCUCAUAGCGUGAAGAUUUUUGGGGGUUGCAGCCUUCGCUGUCCUCAGCGCGUGGAAAAUGCGCAAAAAAAAACCCCAAAACAACACCAAAAAAGCCCCGAACAGCCGAGGACUGAAGGAAGGAACUGUCUCCUCACGGCCACCGUUCUGAUUUAGGGCCGUACAGGUGCUCUUUAUUCCCACAUGUCUCUAUAUGUCUCCUUAUCCCAGAGAUGGAUUGCAGAACAAAGCCAUUCACCUAUAAUGCUAAUUACACACAAUUACUCUCACUUUGGCCCGUACGUAUGUUGGAUUUUAUAUAUUUAUUACCUUUGUUUUCCUCCAUUGGCUUUCUACUGUCCUAAGAGCAAGAGGGAAAAAAAAAAAAUUACACGUGCACAGCCAAAAGUAAAAAAAAAAAAGACAAAAAAUAAUAGUAAAGAAAAAGGUAAAAACAAGCAAAAAGCAACCAGUUGCCCAUUUGAUCAGUCCGUGGUGGAGAUUGGUGCCUGGAUGCUUUAUUUGUUCCACAGAGGUGUAGAUUUCCCUUGGGAUGUUGGGGAAAGAUUUCUUAAUUAAAGGAUAAAAAAAAAAAAAAAGAAAAGUAAAAAAUAAAACAGUGAAACAGAACCGAAAAGGAAAAUAAUAUGAAUUCUUAUUGAUUUAAAAAAAAAAAAAAAAAAAGCAGCUGACGCUGGCAAUGCAAUCGGGCAGGCACUGAAUUCAUUGCACCGAAAUGAGGACGGAUGAGCUGAACUGAGUGGCAGGGCUGAGUGCAGCUCCGGGAGGAGGGCUCAGCUCCUCGCCCCACCAUCCAGCGCUGCACACACCACCAUCUGUGUGCUUUUGUGCUUGAUUUCCAGCCCCGCGGGCUGCCCUACGUGAUGCACGGAGCGACGCGGGUGCCCUGGUGCUGUGCGUUCCUCUCCCUUUUAUUGCCUGCUCUAUGCUCGCUUUUUUUCUCCCCCCUCUGCGGGCAGCAGGGUUGCUCGGCUUUCCUCUCCCCAGCUCGGCAGCUGAUUCCAGAAGUUUCUACAGCGGAGGAAAUGCACGGGGGAGGGGAGCACCCACUGCGGAGCUUUGCCGCAGCCGGGCAGGCGUGGAGGAGGAGGAGGAUGCGGAGGAUGCACCACCUCCCUCCCUCCCUCCCUCCCUCCUUGGUUCAGGACGCUUUCCAAGCCUCUCCCCCUCCCUACAUUUCCCCAUCCUUGCAGAGGGUGCUGGGAGGUGUUCGCAAGUUGCUUUUUUUUUUCCUUUUACCCCCGCUCGUCCCUGUCCCCCCCCCCCCAACCCGUUUCCUCCCCCUUUGCUAAAUAAAUUAAAAGCAGAGAUGUCUCCUGAUGGAGAUGGAUGAGGCUGGGCUCACUUGCAUGCACUGUGCCACAGCCCUGAUCUGCUGCUUAGGGCAGAAAUGACCUUUCCCAGGCAGUGGGAGGGAGCUUCUCCCCACCCCGCUAUGCUGCUGCUUGGAAUUCAUCUUACAUAGCAGCCUUAUUAUUUUUUUUAUCCCCCCUCCAAAGAACAGCUUGCUGCUUCGGGAAAUGCAGGGUUGUUUGUGUAAUUCCCACUCUGCAGCAGAUAGCUUCUCUGUGAGUAUUGUAAACAUGCAGCAAGCUGGGCAGUGGGAUCUGGCCUUGCUGAGGAGGGUAAGGCACAGUUCUCUGGUUGUGUGAGUGCUUUACACCUCCACAGAAAGCCACAAUGUUUCUGUGGUUAAUUCUGGAGGGCAUGAGCGGGUCCCAGGGCUUCCCCUUCCCACCCUGUAAUGUUUCACAAAAGAGAAAGCUGCUGCUUCUGGAAGAAGCUCUGCCUUGUGGCCUUAUUUAAAAAAAAAAAAAAAAAGAAGGAGGCUGUGGAUUAGUCAUCAUUAUCGUUAAAGGAGGCUGCGUGUGCUGGUGUGUGUGUGAUGUUAAGCAUUAGUUUAUUUGGGAGGGCUGGUAAUGUGCUCGGGUCGCUGCUCCUGGAGCAGUGCCACCAGGCUCCAUCAAGCUGCUGCUGGCAGGUGGAAAAGCUGACGGGCUGCUGUCGGUCCCCUUCCAUCCCUUUUCCCUUUUCAGUAUCUCUGCACUGCCAGGUGUGGGAAGGAGGAGACCGAAACGACAGCGAGGAGGACAGGCGAGGUUCCAAUGCCAGAGAAGAAACCCUGUGCUUUUCUAUCCUUGCUUUUAUUCUAAGCACAACUGACUGCAUCUUGUCGCCAUGACUUCAAAAUGCAUAGUCCAAGCAGUGAGCAAAGAGAGCAGGCCACGACACCCUGUAGGAAUUGUACUGCUUUUCUCUGUCAGUUUGGAAUAACUGGGUUUCCUUGGGAGUGUUGGACUUCUAUCACCGCAUGCUUUGGAUUGAAGAGUUAACAGAAUGACAUCUGUGAGGCUUCCGAGCUAAACAAAACCUGAAUUUCUGGUGCAAAAAGCAACCUGGAAGACAGAAGCCUUCUGCCUAGAGGAUGAAAUGCUUCAUGUUUGGAAAAAACUAGCAGCAGCUCUGCUCCCCUGCGUUGUGUGGAUGAGAACACCGUGGAGUCUGGCUGGGAGAAGUGCUUGAAAAGAAGUCAGAGAAUGCUGGUACAGCUGAUGCAGGGAUGUUCUGCAUCUCAAAGGGAUGUUCUGGACAGAGUUAACACAUGAAGACUUGGAGCGCUACCCUGUAAGAGGCAAGGACUGAAAUCAAUAGCUUUAUUAAUUCAAAUCCUAUACUUUGUGUUGUUGCUUAGGAUUCAGAAUCAGGCUUCACGUUCAAAGCGUUAUCAGCACAUUAGCCAGUAUCCUCUGUCUUGGCAACACAUGAGCCCAAAUAUCAAAAAGCACCAAUUCCUUUUUGGAGAAAAUUAUCCAUUGCAUAAAACGUAAUGGGUAAGCAAUAAAAUUAGCACAGCAAUUCAGGCUGGCUUAAAAAAUGAGAUAAAAGCUUGGCUGGCAAUUUGAUAUUCAGCUGCCAUACUGUUGUGUUAAUAAAUAUAGUCAAUGAGCAGGAAAGACACGUCAAUAAAUUGCCUCGUGGCAAGAUGUUGGUGGACCUGACCGGCUUGAACAAAGCAGAGCCCUGAGUGUCUGAGGGCUCUUGUCUGAGCAGCACACCAUUUCUCUGCACAAAGCAAAGCAAGCUGGAUGCUUACUGGACACUGAGGGUAAUCGCUGCGUGCUGUGAAUGCGAGUGCUGUAAUCCCUGCAGGUCUGGUCAGGGUGGUGUCCCCAGCAGUGGGGAGCAGAGUAAUGCCUCCCGCCCCACUCCGCAGCUGCAGUGCUACGAGCUCACAAAGCAGAGCCCUCACUGAGCCAGGGCUGAUUGUAGGGAGCUACGGCUUUAGCAAACAGUCCUUGUUGCUGUCCUUGUUCCGUAUCUAAUUCUUUUAGCAAGCUCCACCACUUGGGGUAAGAUAUUGGGUUAGGAAUGUUAUGAACAUUGUGUUGCAUGUUAAAAAUGUAUGAGCAGUGCUGUCGGCUUGCUCUGUAAAGUGCCUUUCUAUUUAUCCACGUUUGCUCCUAGAUGGUAGGCUGCCUCUGGCUGUUGCCUUUGCUUUUGGUAUGAACCCCAAGGAUGUUUUCUGAUCCUCCUGCCCUUUUUUCCUCCAAACUGGAGAGCUGCUAACUUUAUUAGCUCCUUAUAUGGCAGCACUGUUUUUCUCACGCCUUUAAUGGCUCUCUUUUGAUCUGUCCUGCUCCUGCUUUGCUUUUCUUGAUGUGAACACAGUGUGCAAGCUGAGAUGGGUUUAUAACCUGCUCCCUCAUUAAUAUCUGGUCUGGCAUGUUAAUCCUCUCCAAGUGGUGAUAAGAAACAUGCAGAUGUUUUAACAGUGUUUGGCUGCAAUGCCUGCAGAUAGCUGGGUUCUCACUGUACUCACUGUGUGGAUGAGCAAUUAAACAGUGCCCUGCAGAGCUCCAGGCUCUGCCCUAGCGUGUGCUGGUGGCUGAGAGACGCUGGGUGAUGGAGAGCAGCUGGAUGGAGUCUCCUGUUCUGGGCUGUUUGAGUAGGAGGGGUGCAGGAUCAAGUGCUGACCUUUGAUGCUUGCUCCCAAGCUCGUUGCCAGCAGGCUGCACACAGGUCCUCAUGCAGUGACCAGGAUGACACCGGUUGCUGCCACCUCCUGUACUGAGGUCCCUUUGGCCUUCUGAGAUGCAGGUCACACUCUCUCCAAUCUGUGUUCUUUACAAUCUCCAGAUGAGUGAGAGGGAUCUGGUUACAGCAGCACUGCCCAAGCGCGCCUGUGUGUUGCAACUGGGAACAGCUUCCCCCCAAAGCACAGUAAGAGCAUUGGAAUGAUCCAGAGCUUCGUUCUGCAUCACGGACCAGGCUACGCGCUCCUCUUCCAGCUGGCUUUCAUGUAAACAGAGCAUUUUAAGUACUAAUUUCAACUGUUUUUUCUGUCUGCAGGCUUUGUUUCUGACAGUUCCUUGACUGUGGAUGUCCUUCCAGCCAGGCUGCCUGCAGUGUGACAGCUGUGACCCUGCAUGAGGUUUCUUUGAAGGACCUGGGAGACCGUGUGGCUUUUUUUAGUUCCUCAGAGGUGUUUCCAUGGCAGGGAAGGAGGAAAAUGUUUGGAAAUGCUGUCACAGGAGGCAUGCUUACCUGGCUAGGGGAAAACUUGCUGUAGAAAAGCCAGCUGGCGCAUGGUUUGAAGAGGGAUAGGUUCCUUUCUCUCCAAAAUGGAAUCCCUUAAGGAAGGUAUAGACAAGUAGUUCCUACUCUUGAGGUUUCUGACUGGUUAAAACAAGGAGCUGAGCCCAUUUCCAUGCAGAAAUGUGUGGUACAGUGCAUUGCAAUGCUUUUCCUUGCGUGUGCGGGGUCACACGCUUUACUAAUAGAUGGUUUGCAUGCAAGAAGUUAUUGCUUUUUUAUUUCUAAUCAGUCCAUCUCCAUUCAGCAGAGCAGCUUCACACCCACCAUCACGGGGGAAACUGAGGCACAGGGCCACUGUGGGAUUACAGGCAGAGCUGGGGAUAAGGCUCAGGUUUGCGGAGGCUCAGGCUGACGUGCGUCAGAGGGCUGCUUAAAUGGAGAGAUUUGCAAAGGGAGGUGACCUACAGCUCGAUGGCUGGGACUGCUGCUGGACCUGAUCCUUGCGGGUGCCUUCUGACUCAAACCACAGUUUGGUCAGGGGAAGAAUUUGGCAGCACAGUGCCCACGGUGAGAUUUGGUGAGCUCCUCCAGUGCCAGAGCCUGGCCCACAGCCAGCGCACGGGGUUCAUACGGCACUGAACUUUGGAGCCAUUAGAGAUAAACAGCGCUAUAGGCUAAUAAAAGGCUCUGCAUCACAGGGCCCUUGUCUGCUCACGCCACAA